AGAUGCCAGGGGCAAAAGCCUAAAACUACGAUGUGCUUGCACAUGAGUAGUUUUAGGGCUUAAUGCCCCGCCCCGAUAUGAGCAUAAAAGUGGAGCGUAAGCUUCACGAUAUGCGAAUAUUGGGUAGAAUUGUGAGAGUACGAAGUACGAAACAAUUCGUAUGGAAUCU
rnacentral:sRNA from 1 species